rnacentral:rRNA from 1 species
UACGUAGGGGGCAAGCGUUGUCCGGAAUUAUUGGGCGUAAAGGGCUCGUAGGCGGUCUGUUGCGUCAGGAGUGAAAACUCGGGGCUUAACCCCGAGCCUGCUUCUGAUACGGGCAGACUAGAGGUAUGCAGGGGAGAACGGAAUUCCUGGUGUAGCGGUGAAAUGCGCAGAUAUCAGGAGGAACACCAGUGGCGAAGGCGACUCACUGGACACAUAUUGACGCUGAGGUGCGAAAGCGUGGGGAGCAAACAGG